rnacentral:tRNA from 1 species
GAGGGUAGAGCUCAGUGGUAGAGAGCAUGCUUAAGCAUGCGCAAGGUCCUGGGUUCAAUCCCCAGUACCUCCA